UACGUAGGGUGCGAGCGUUGUCCGGAAUUAUUGGGCGUAAAGGGCUCGUAGGCGGUUUGUCGCGUCGGGAGUGAAAUCCACUGGCUUAACUGGUGGCUUGCUUUCGAUACGGGCAGACUGGAGGUAUGCAGGGGAGAACGGAAUUCCUGGUGUAGCGGUGAAAUGCGCAGAUAUCAGGAGGAACACCGGUGGCGAAGGCGGUUCUCUGGCAUGUCCUGACGCUGAGGAGCGAAGUGUGGGAGC
rnacentral:rRNA from 1 species